ACCAAUCCCAUGCCAGGAAGUGGGGGGUGGGGGGGUGGGAAGGACCCUUGGGGCAUGCCGGGAAAUGCGCUCCCCAGCUAGGAUGCCGUUUGAAACUCACAAGGGUAAGUUACUUGUCUGGUGUCACUCAGUGUCUAAGGACACAUUUGAACUUGAGUUUUCCUGACUCUAGGCUCAGCAUUCUAUCCACUGUGCCACCUAGCUGCCCAAUAAAUAUUAAAGGAGAAUGAAAGAAGGGACUGCUUUGAUGGGAGGUUUCCAUACCGGGCAUAUCACAUCUCCUUGGAAGAGCAGUAAUCAGAGCUAUCACUAACACAGAACUUCCAGGAAUUUGUUUGCAGAGAAUUUACAUACUAUCAAGGCGCACAUUUCUUCUCCUAAAGGAAGGAGUCUCGGAGUCCCCACAUCAGCUGCUAAUGCUUCCUAUUUUGUGUUGUUUUCCAUGUACUGUGUCUAUAUCUUGUAAGUACCUCCUCCUCUAGACUUCAGGGAGAAAGGCAGUGCUUGUUUUGUCUUCCUUUGUAUCCCAAGUGUUAAGUGUAAUUCCUGACUAAUAGUAAACACUUAAUCAAUAUUUGGUGAUAUACAGACUCAUUUAUUGGACCCUAUUACACAGGUACAAUGCAAAAAAGGAAGAGAGAAAUUCCUAUCUUCAAGGAGUGUAGAACAUACUGAAGGUAGGCAGCAUUUGUAAAAAUCAAGCAGGGCAUUUAAAAAAUCAGAAAUAAAGACCAAACCUAGAUAACGCUUCCA
rnacentral:lncRNA from 1 species